rnacentral:RNase_P_RNA from 1 species
CGAGUCGGCUGGGCAGCCGCUGUCAGACUUUUGAGUUUGAACAGAGGAAAGUCCGGGCUCCAUAGAGCAAGGUGCCAGGUAAUUCCUGGGGGGCGUGAGCCUACGGAAAGUGCAACAGAAAAGAUACCGCCUGAUUGACUUAUAGUCAUCAGGUAAGGGUGAAAUGGUGUGGUAAGAGCGCACCGCAUGGGUGGUAACAUUCCAUGGCAUGGUAAACCCCGCUUGGAGCAAGGCCAAAUAGGAAUCCACUGGUGUGGCUCGCACUGGAUUCGGGUAGGCUGCAUGAGGUAUGUGGUGACACAUAUCCCAGAUGAAUGGUUGUCCACGACAGAACCCGGCUUACAGGCCGACUCAUUUU